rnacentral:rRNA from 1 species
GACGAACGCUGGCGGCGUGCCUAAUACAUGCAAGUCGAGCGAGCGGAACUAACAGAUUUACUUCGGUAAUGACGUUAGGAAAGCGAGCGGCGGAUGGGUGAGUAACACGUGGGGAACCUGCCCCAUAGUCUGGGAUACCACUUGGAAACAGGUGCUAAUACCGGAUAAGAAAGCAGAUCGCAUGAUCAGCUUUUAAAAGGCGGCGUAAGCUGUCGCUAUGGGAUGGCCCCGCGGUGCAUUAGCUAGUUGGUAAGGUAAAGGCUUACCAAGGCGAUGAUGCAUAGCCGAGUUGAGAGACUGAUCGGCCACAUUGGGACUGAGACACGGCCCAAACUCCUACGGGAGGCAGCAGUAGGGAAUCUUCCACAAUGGACGCAAGUCUGAUGGAGCAACGCCGCGUGAGUGAAGAAGGUUUUCGGAUCGUAAAGCUCUGUUGUUGGUGAAGAAGGAUAGAGGUAGUAACUGGCCUUUAUUUGACGGUAAUCAACCAGAAAGUCACGGCUAACUACGUGCCAGCAGCCGCGGUAAUACGUAGGUGGCAAGCGUUGUCCGGAUUUAUUGGGCGUAAAGCGAGCGCAGGCGGAAGAAUAAGUCUGAUGUGAAAGCCCUCGGCUUAACCGAGGAACUGCAUCGGAAACUGUUUUCCUUGAGUGCAGAAGAGGAGAGUGGAACUCCAUGUGUAGCGGUGGAAUGCGUAGAUAUAUGGAAGAACACCAGUGGCGAAGGCGGCUCUCUGGUCUGCAACUGACGCUGAGGCUCGAAAGCAUGGGUAGCGAACAGGAUUAGAUACCCUGGUAGUCCAUGCCGUAAACGAUGAGUGCUAAGUGUUGGAAGGUUUCCGCCUCUCAGUGCUGCAGCUAACGCAUUAAGCACUCCGCCUGGGGAGUACGACCGCAAGGUUGAAACUCAAAGGAAUUGACGGGGGCCCGCACAAGCGGUGGAGCAUGUGGUUUAAUUCGAAACAACGCGAAGAACCUUACCAGGUCUUGACAUCUAGUGCCAUUUGUAGAGAUACAAAGUUCCCUUCGGGGACGCUAAGACAGGUGGUGCAUGGCUGUCGUCAGCUCGUGUCGUGAGAUGUUGGGUUAAGUCCCGCAACGAGCGCAACCCUUGUUAUUAGUUGCCAGCAUUAAGUUGGGCACUCUAAUGAGACUGCCGGUGACAAACCGGAGGAAGGUGGGGAUGACGUCAAGUCAUCAUGCCCCUUAUGACCUGGGCUACACACGUGCUACAAUGGGCAGUACAACGAGAAGCGAGCCUGCGAAGGCAAGCGAAUCUCUGAAAGCUGUUUUCAGUUCGGACUGCAGUCUGCAACUCGACUGCACGAAGCUGGAAUCGCUAGUAAUCGCGGAUCAGCACGCCGCGGUGAAUACGUUCCCGGGCCU